ACCACAACUACACCCUCCACCACGUCUCCAACCACCUCAACAACCACAACUACACCCUCCACCACGUCUCCAGUGUCCACCACCUCACGUUCAGUGAUUCAUGAUUCCAUGAUCUGGUUGUCCCUUCUAUCACUUCUGCUUUCACUAGCAUUGCAUGUCUAGCCCUAAAUCUGAUUAUAAAACAUACAAAAUAAUUCAAGGUAAAGGGAGUAUAGAAAAUAUAUUAAUUUUUAUUAAUAAAUGGGUCUUCAAGUUCAAAUAUUUUUAAUCAUUAAACCGGAGAGCAAAUGAGGGACCUGAUUUGCCUAAAAAACAUUCUUACAUUCUGUUCUACAAAUAUUAUAUUUCAACUAUAUUAAAUUUUUUAAUCACUGUCUAAUUAAUAGUAUCAACUAAAGUUGUUUUAAAAAGGUCAAUAAUCAAACCCUAACCUGUAUGUACAUACCUACUGGACAUAUAACUGCUUUAAUGUACAAUAAUUAUAAACUAUGAAUUAAAGGUUUGCUCUUAUUAAUCAAA